UUGCUUUGGGCAGUAAUUUAUACUAAAAUUUGGGAACGAUCAGAGAAGAUUAGCAUGACCCCUCAAAAGCAGGGACCGCAAAAUUGUGAACGUCCCACAUUUUUU